AUUGAACGCUGGCGGCAUGCUUUACACAUGCAAGUCGAACGGUAACAGGGACUUCGGUCCGCUGACGAGUGGCGAACGGGUGAGUAAUACGUAGGAAUAUACCUAUAGGUGGGGGAUAACUACUCGAAAGAGUGGCUAAUACCGCAUAAUAUCUACGGAUUAAAGCGGGGGAUCGCAAGACCUCGUGCCAGUAGAAUAGCCUACAUCCGAUUAGCUAGUUGGUAGAGUAAAAGCCUACCAAGGCAACGAUCGGUAACUGGUCCGAGAGGAUGAUCAGUCACACUGGAACUGAGACACGGUCCAGACUCCUACGGGAGGCAGCAGUGGGGAAUUUUGGACAAUGGGCGAAAGCCUGAUCCAGCAAUGCCGCGUGGGUGAAGAAGGCCUUCGGGUUGCAAAGCCCUUUCGGAUAGAAAGAAAGCUCUUACUCUAACAUAGUGAGAGAAUGACGGUACUAUCAUAAGAAGCACCGGCUAACUACGUGCCAGCAGCCGCAGUAAAAC
rnacentral:rRNA from 1 species